rnacentral:rRNA from 1 species
CCCUUAGAUGCUCUGGGCCGCACGCGCGCUACACUGGUCGAUGCAACGAGUUUCUUUCCUUGGCCGACAGGCCUGGGCAAUCUUUGAACAUCGAUCGUGAUCGGGAUAGAUUCUUGUAAUUUUUGAUCUUAAACGAGGAAUUCCUAGUAAACGCAAGUCAUCAGCUUGCAUUGAUUACGUCCCUGCCCUUUGUACACACCGCCCGUCGCACCUACCGAUUGAAUGGUCCGGUGAAAUCUCCGGACUGGCGUGAGUCGGAGCAAUCUGACAAACACCGGAAAGUUGAUUAAACCUUACCAUUUAGAGGAAGGUGGAGUCGUAACA